UCCUCCUUAGCUCAGCGGUAGUAGCGCUUCACUAGUAAUUCGCGCACGAAUUAGCUCAUGAAGAGGUCAGUCGUUCAAAUCGGCUAGGAGGAA